UUGUUUGUGUCCUGAACCCACCAUAUUCCAAGUCAAUAAGCAUGGUCUGAUCUCCUACACAGAGUAAGGAACACCAAAGUCCAGAAAUCAUCUAAUUUUCC
rnacentral:lncRNA from 1 species